rnacentral:sRNA from 1 species
UUUUUUUUGUCAUCUAGGAAGUAGAAAUUCUUGAAUUAAACUUGUCGUGGAACCAUACAAAUAUACAAUAUGUAAAACGUCCAAACGAAGGAAAUUAUGCCCGUGGACGAAUAUACAUCCCCGGAAACUAAAGCGAUACCAAGAGAUAUAAAAAUUACAGAGCAAAAAAUUUAAACUCGAAAUAGAAAGAAAUCGAAAAAUUUAAGUCUGAAAAACAUAACGUGAUUGCUUUUUGGGAUCUGAAUCCAUUAAAGCCAUUACACACCAAUCUAUUUAU